GGCGAACGGGUGAGUAACGCGUUGGUGACCUGUCCCAAAGUGUGGGAUAACAGUCCGAAAGGAUUGCUAAUACCGCAUGUGGUCCCCGGGUUUAGAAACCGGUGACUAAAGGAGCAAUUCGCUUUGGGAGGGACCUGCGUCCCAUCAGCUAGUUGGUGAGGUAACGGCUCACCAAGGCGACGACGGGUAGGGGACCUGAGAGGGUGGCCCCCCACAAUGGAACUGAAACACGGUCCAUACACCUACGGGUGGCAGCAGUAGGGAAUAUUGCACAAUGGGCGAAAGCCUGAUGCAGCAACGCCGCGUGCACGAUGAAGGCCUUCGGGUCGUAAAGUGCUUUUCUGCGAGAUGAGAAAGGACAGUAUCGUAGGAAUAAGUCUCGGCUAACUACGUGCCAGCAGCCGCGGUAAAACGUAGGAGGCGAGCGUUAUCCGGAUCCACUGGGCGUAAAGCGCGUGCAGGUGGUUCGGUAAGUUGGGCGUGAAAUCUCCCGGCUCAGCUGGGAGAGGUCGUCCAAUACUACCGAACUUGAGAGCAGAAGAGGAAGAUGGAAUUCCCGGUGUAGUGGUGAAAUGCGUAGAUAUCGGGAGGAACACCAGUGGCGAAGGCGAUCUUCUGGUCUGUUUCUGACGCUCAGGCGCGAAAGCGUGGGGAGCAAACAGGAUUAGAUACCCUGGUAGUCCACGCUGUAAACGAUGUUCACUAGGUGUUGGGGGUAUUGACCCAUCUCAGUGCCGUAGCUAACGCAUUAAGUGAACCCGCCUGGGAAGUACGGUCGCAAGA
rnacentral:rRNA from 1 species